GGCUAAGUAUAAGCUUGUUCAUGUGGUUAGGACCCAUCGUGGAGCUGAUGAUAAGGCGUUUAGGUGUGUUUAUCAGGAGCAGGAUGAUGCUGGAAAAACUGGGGUUUCUUUGUCAAAAGAUCUAAUGGCAAUUGCAGGUGGAGCACUCAAGAUCAAUAUCACCACCUUGGGUCCUUUGGUUCUUCCAAUAAGUGAGCAACUUUUGUUCUUCGCAACUUUGGUAGCCAAGAAAAUGUUCAAUGCGAAAGUGAAGCCUUACAUCCCAGAUUUUAAGCUUGCAUUCGACCAUUUUUGCAUACAUGCUGGGGGAAGAGCUGUGAUCGAUGAGCUUGAGAAGAAUUUGCAACUUCUGCCCGUGCAUGUUGAAGCAUCGAGGAUGACUCUGCAUCGGUUUGGUAACACUUCAUCAAGCUCUAUUUGGUAUGAAUUGGCCUACACUGAAGCAAAGGGCAGGAUGCGAAAGGGAAACCGUGUGUGGCAGAUAGCUUUUGGAAGUGGUUUUAAGUGUAACAGUGCAGUGUGGGAGGCUCUGAGGAAUGUUAAGCCCUCUACUAGUAAUCCAUGGGAAGAUUGCAUUGACCGGUAUCCAGUGCAGUUAGUUCUGUAGUUCCUGAACAAUUUGAUUAGAGACUCGAUUUAGAGAAGGGUACUGUGAUAGAUUGACUGGAAACUACUCUGCUAUUUUGUUCUAGCCUGUGUUUA
rnacentral:misc_RNA from 1 species